rnacentral:rRNA from 1 species
CGGCCGCGUCGACAACCUUACCAAAUCUUGACAUCGGAGUGACCGCUCUUUAAUCGGAGCUUUCCUUCGGGACACUCCAGACAGGUGGUGCAUGGUUGUCGUCAGCUCGUGUCGUGAGAUGUUGGGUUAAGUCCCGCAACGAGCGCAACCCUUAUCCUUAGUAGCCAGCGGUUCGGCCGGGCACUCUAGGGAGACUGCCAGGGAUAACCUGGAGGAAGGUGGGGAUGACGUCAAAUCAUCAUGCCCCUUAUGAUUUGGGCUACACACGUGCUACAAUGGCGUAAACAAAGGGAAGCGAACCCGUGAGGGGAAGCAAAUCUCAAAAAUAACGUCUCAGUUCGGAUUGUAGUCUGCAACUCGACUACAUGAAGCUGGAAUCGCUAGUAAUCGCGAAUCAGCAUGUCGCGGUGAAUACGUUCCCGGGUCUUGUACACACCGCCGUCGACGCGGCCGAGUCGUGGAGG